AAAAUAUAUUAUCAAAACUGAUCUCUUCUUCUGGUUAUUUCUACUCUUUCUAGGAAUCUAAGGCUUUUCUGGCUUGCACUCCAUUUCCAUUGCAGAGAGCUACUACAAAAUGCACUUGCUAGAGGAUUAUCCUCAAGAGACUUGGGACAUACGAGGCAUGAUCGAAAAGUACGGACUUAGCAUCUCUGUCUCCAACAACGUCAGCUCCCCACUCCCUGCAAUGCCAAUCCUGGCUGGUCCCUGUGGAGGAGGAGAGGUGAUAGAUGGGCCUCAGAAAAGGAGAUGGACAGCAACAGGAAAGAAUCUGUGAUCUGGAGCUCUUUUGGUGACAUGCACACACAAAGGACUGCAAAAGAAUGGCUUUCAAACAGCAUAAAUAGGCAACCACUGGGCCCGAGUGCUAGCUGCUACAUAAUGAACACACUUGCCUUUUGCUAACAACAUU
rnacentral:lncRNA from 1 species